rnacentral:rRNA from 1 species
AGAGUUUGAUCCUGGCUCAGAGUGAACGCUGGCGGCAGGCCUAACACAUGCAAGUCGAACGGCAGCACAAGAGAGCUUGCUCUCUNGGUGGCGAGUGGCGGACGGGUGAGGAAUACAUCGGAAUCUGCCCAGUCGUGGGGGAUAACCUCGGGAAACCGGGACUAAUACCGCAUACGACCUUCGGGUGAAAGCAGGGGAUCGCAAGACCUUGCGCGAUUGGAUGAGCCGAUGUCGGAUUAGCUAGUUGGAGGGGUAAAGGCCCACCAAGGCGACGAUCCGUAGCUGGUCUGAGAGGAUGACCAGCCACACUGGGACUGAGACACGGCCCAGACUCCUACGGGAGGCAGCAGUGGGGAAUUUUGGACAAUGGGCGCAAGCCUGAUCCAGCCAUGCCGCGUGAGUGAAGAAGGCCUUCGGGUUGUAAAGCUCUUUUGUCCGGAAAGAAAAGCCUGUGGUUAAUACCCGNAAGNCAUGACGGUACCGGAAGAAUAAGCACCGGCUAACUACGUGCCAGCAGCCGCGGUAACACGUAGGGUGCAGGCGUUAAUCGGAAUUACUGGGCGUAAAGCGUGCGCAGNNGGUNCGUUAAGUCAGAUGUGAAAUCCCCGGGCUCAACCUGGGAAUUGCAUUUGUNACUGGCGGGCUAGAGUANGGNAGAGGNNGGNNGAAUUCCNNGUGUAGCAGUGAAAUGCGUAGAGAUGUGGAGGAACACCNNUGGCGAAGGCNGCCCNNUGGNCCAGCACUGACNCUCAGGCACGAAAGCGUGGGGAGCAAACAGGAUUAGAUACCCUNGUAGUC